UAGGGUAUAGCUCAGGGGUAGAGCACUUGCUUAGCAUGCAUGAGGUCCUGGGUUCAAUCUCCAGUACCUUAC
rnacentral:tRNA from 1 species